UGAGCAAUCUGCCCUUCUCAUCGGAAUAAGCGUUGGAAACGACGUCUAAUGCCGAAUACGACCUCCUUUCGCAUGAUCGGAGGUGGAAAGCUCCGGCGGAGAAGGAUGAGCUCGCGGCCUAUCAGCUAGUUGGUGUGGGUAAUGGCCUACCAAGGCGACGACGGGUAGCCGGCCUGAGAGGGUGACCGGCCACACUGGGACUGAGACACGGCCCAGACUUCUACGGGAGCAG
rnacentral:rRNA from 1 species